rnacentral:tRNA from 1 species
GCCGUGGUCGCAUAAUCAGGUAUUGCGCCGAACUCAAAAUUCGGUGAUCCAUCCCUGGAUCUUGCGGGUUCGAAUCCCGUCCACGGCG